CUACGGGGCGCUGCAGCGGGGAAUAUUGCACAAUGGAGGAAACUCUGAUGCAGCAACGCCGCGUGGAGGAUGACACUUUUCGGAGCGUAAACUCCUUUUAUAUAGGAAGAAGAUGACGGUACUAUAUGAAUAAGCGCCGGCUAACUCCGUGCCAGCAGCCGCGGUAAUAAGGAGGGCGCAAGCGUUACUCGGAAUCACUGGGCGUAAAGAGCGUGUAGGCGGAUUAAAAAGUCAGAAGUGAGAUCCUAUAGCUUAACUAUAGAACUGCUUCUGAAACUCUUAAUCUAGAAUAUGGGAGAGGUAGAUGGAAUUUCUGGUGUAGGGGUAAAAUCCGUAGAGAUCAGAAGGAAUACCGAUUGCGAAGGCGAUCUACUAGAACAUUAUUGACGCUGAGACGCGAAAGCGUGGGGAGCAAACAGGAUUAGAUACCCCCGUAGUC
rnacentral:rRNA from 1 species